rnacentral:rRNA from 1 species
UACGUAGGGUGGGAGCGUUAAUCGGAAUUACUGGGCGUAAAGCGUGCGCAGGCGGUGAUGUAAGCCAGAUGUGAAAUCCCCGGGCUUAACCUGGGAAUGGCAUUUGGGACUGCAAGGCUCGAGUGCGGCAGAGGAGACUGGAAUUCCUGGUGUAGCAGUGAAAUGCGUAGAUAUCAGGAGGAACACCAAUGGCGAAGGCAGCUCGCUGGGACGGUACUGACGCUGAGACGCGAAAGCGUGGGGAGCAAACAGG